CUACGGGGUGCUCCAGUGAGGAAUAUUGCACAAUGGGGGGAACCCUGAUGCAGCAACGCCGCGUGGAGGAUGACGCAUUUCGGUGUGUAAACUCCUUUUAUAUGUCAAGAAAAUGACGGUAGCAUAUGAAUAAGCACCGGCUAACUCCGUGCCAGCAGCCGCGGUAAUACGGAGGGUGCAAGCGUUACUCGGAAUCACUGGGCGUAAAGGACGCGUAGGCGGGUUGGAAAGUCAGGUGUGAAAUCCUACAGCUUAACUGUAGAACUGCACUUGAAACUCUCAAUCUAGAGUAUGGGAGGGGCAGAUGGAAUUAGUGGUGUAGGGGUAAAAUCCGUAGAUAUCACUAGGAAUACCUAAAGCGAAGGCGAUCUGCUGGAACAUUACUGACGCUAAGGCGUGAAAGCGUGGGGAGCAAACAGGAUUAGAUACCCCCGUAGUC
rnacentral:rRNA from 1 species